GCUUAAUUUUCGCCUUGAUAAUUUUAUUCAAUUAACUUGUACUUCAGAUACCCGUUCGGCCAUUUAGACAUAAUGAAUACGAGAGAUUUAUCCCAGCUGCCUUCCCCUACUAUGGAGCGUCAUUUUCAACUAUGGCUGGUUUCUUCAUAUUCACAAUUGUUUACCUCUACAAUAAAUAGAUUGCUUUAGCCCAGUGGAAAGUGCUGCGGCAGAUUUCUAAUAGAGCAUUGAGGUGAUGAGCAUUUUAGCACCUUUUAGUUUGAGCUUUAGGCUUGAAUUGUUUUUUUUUUUGGUAAAAUUUUGGACAAGUUUACGCGCAACUUAUUUAACAGCUUUUUAAUAUAUCUUAAUGGCCCCUGCCUUGUCUUCUUGAUAAAAUCAAAGUUGUAAUCCUUAGCACUUCUAAUGAAUGAAGUUACUGCUC